rnacentral:rRNA from 1 species
CCUACGGGUGGCAGCAGUGAGGAAUAUUGGUCAAUGGACGAGAGUCUGAACCAGCCAAGUAGCGUGAAGGAUGACUGCCCUAUGGGUUGUAAACUUCUUUUAUAAAGGAAUAAAACGAGGCACGUGUGCCUUUUUGCAUGUACUUUAUGAAUAAGGAUCGACUAACUCCGUGCCAGCAGCCGCGGUAAUACGGAGGAUCCGAGCGUUAUCCGGAUUUAUUGGGUUUAAAGGGAGAGUAGAUGGGUUGUUAAGUCAGUUGUGAAAGUUUGGGGCUCAACCGUAAAAUUGCGAUUGAUACUGGCAGUCUCGAGUAGAGUUGAGGUAGGCGGAAUGCGCGGGGUAGCGGUGAAAUGCUGAGAUAUCACGAAGAACCCCGAUUGCGAAGGCAGCAUACUAA